AUUGAACGCUGGCGGCAGGCCUAACACAUGCAAGUCGAGCGGAUGAAGGGAGCUUGCUCCUGGAUUCAGCGGCGGACGGGUGAGUAAUGCCUAGGAAUCUGCCUGGUAUUGGGGGAUAACGUCCGGAAACGGGCGCUAAUACCGCAUACGUCCUGAGGGAGAAAGUGGGGGAUCUUCGGACCUCACGCUAUCAGAUGAGCCUAGGUCGGAUUAGCUAGUUGGUGGGGUAAAGGCCUACCAAGGCGACGAUCCGUAACUGGUCUGAGAGGAUGAUCAGUCACACUGGAACUGAGACACGGUCCAGACUCCUACGGGAGGCAGCAGUGGGGAAUAUUGGACAAUGGGCGAAAGCCUGAUCCAGCCAUGCCGCGUGUGUGAAGAAGGUCUUCGGAUUGUAAAGCACUUUAAGUUGGGAGGAAGGGCAGUAAGUUAAUACCUUGCUGUUUUGACGUUACCAAAAGAAUAAGCACCGGCUAACUUCGUG
rnacentral:rRNA from 1 species